rnacentral:hammerhead_ribozyme from 1 species
GUACGGCUGAAGAGUCCCGAACCAAUGGGACGAAACAGUUGUCCAGUAC